AUUGAACGCUGGCGGCAGGCCUAACACAUGCAAGUCGAACGGUAACAGGAAGCAGCUUGCUGCUUCGCUGACGAGUGGCGGACGGGUGAGUAAUGUCUGGGAAGCUGCCUGAUGGAGGGGGAUAACUACUGGAAACGGUAGCUAAUACCGCAUAAUGUCGCAAGACCAAAGAGGGGGACCUUCGGGCCUCUUGCCAUCGGAUGUGCCCAGAUGGGAUUAGCUUGUUGGUGGGGUAACGGCUCACCAAGGCGACGAUCCCUAGCUGGUCUGAGAGGAUGACCAGCCACACUGGAACUGAGACACGGGUCAGACUCCCAAGGGAGGCAGCAGUGGGGAAUAUUGGACCAUGGGGGGAAGCCCUAUGGCGGCAAGCCGGGUGGAAUAAGAAGGCCCUUCGGGUGGAAAGUACUUUCAGCGGGGAGGAAGGGAGUAAAGUUAAUACCUUUGCUCAUUGACGUUACCCGCAGAAGAAGCACCGGCUAACUCCGUG
rnacentral:rRNA from 1 species